rnacentral:piRNA from 1 species
GAAGGCAGAAACCAAGAACCACUAAGGACC